ACAGUGUUGAUAAAACCAACAUUCUGUCGCGUGAUGAAAAACUAAGAGACGAAAAUAAAUGUAAACGGUUGCAAAAAAAUGAGAGCACUUUUCCAAAGUACAAUGAGCAUUUUAAUAAUCCGGUUCUUCAAACUUUAAAUAAAUAUUCUGGCCUUGAUGAUGAAGUUUCGGAUUAGGAGAUAUAUUUCUAAAAUGAAAUAAAAAAUGUCUUGUGUCUAAUAAUUUAAAGUAAUAAAAGGCAUUUAUGUAUAA